rnacentral:lncRNA from 1 species
UGUCAUUCACUGUGGUAUAGCGUAUGUUGAUAGGAAGCUAAGGAACAUUUUGACUGUGUUGAAUUAGAUGAUGAUGAAUUUGAGAAGUAUGUAUUACUGGUAAUUUAAAAUAGGAUGCCUAAACUAUUAUAGGUUGCGGGGCGUUAUAGGAUAAGAGGAAAUUAUAGGUAAGUGAUUUGAGUUUAGGAAAACACCCACCAGGGUGAAUGAGUUACAGCACUGUAAUGCAGAAUCUGAUUGCUUGAGGUGAUGAUCUGGGCUUACUGAGAGAUUUAUGAUCAUCCUGUUAUUUAAUGUUGUUUUUCCAAAUCAA